UUCUGUGUAUGGCACUGGUAGAAUUCACUGUGCAACCCCGCAGUCAGUGAAUUACCAUAGGGCCAUAAACAGAG
rnacentral:pre_miRNA from 1 species